rnacentral:rRNA from 1 species
UACGAAGGGGGCUAGCGUUGCUCGGAAUUACUGGGCGUAAAGGGCGCGUAGGCGGAUAUUUAAGUUAGAGGUGAAAGCCCAGGGCUCAACCCUGGAAUAGCCUUUAAUACUGGAUAUCUUGAGUUCGGGAGAGGUGAGUGGAACUGCGAGUGUAGAGGUGAAAUUCGUAGAUAUUCGGAAGAACACCCGUGGCGAAGGCGGCGACUCUGGGACGGUACUGACGCU